GACGAACGCUGGCGGCGUGCUUAACACAUGCAAGUCGAACGGAAAGGCCUGUCCUUCCUUGUGUUGGACGGGUACUCGAGUGGCGAACGGGUGAGUAACACGUGAGUGAUCUGCCCCCAACUUGGGUAUAAGCCUGGGAAACUGGGUCUAAUUCCCGAUAGGACUGCAGGGUGGUGCCUGUGGUGGAAAACGAUUUUCUAGUGGUUGGGGAUGAGCUCGCGGCCUAUCAGCUUGUUGGUGGGGUAAUGGCCUACCAAGGCGGCGACGGGUAGCCGGCCUGGGAGGGUGGACGGCCACAGUGGGACUGAGAUACGGCCCAGACUCCUACGGGAGGCAGCAGUGGGGAAUAUUGCACAAUGGGCGGAAGCCUGAUGCAGCGACGCCGCGUGGGGGAUGACGGCCUUCGGGUUGUAAACUCCUUUCGACCGCGAGGAAGCCGCCUGGUUGGAAGGGUGGUGACGGUAGUGGUAGAAGAAGCACCGGCUAACUACGUG
rnacentral:rRNA from 1 species